rnacentral:misc_RNA from 1 species
GCUUCACAGAAAUUGUACUUCAAAGCCAGCAAGCAGAUAAUUUGGGGCUAAAAGAACAUUUUUACAGCACCCAGUUGCCAAGUCAUACAGAGAAAUUGAGUUACUACAAAAAUGAGAGAUCCUAAACCAGAAGUAUCCAAAAAUUCUACAACAUGCUUCCAGAAAUAUAAUAGAAAUGUCACACAGUAUAUAAUUAACAUAAACCAAUUCUUGUCCUGUUAUGAUCACUAAGUGUUCCCAAAAGUUUUAUGAAAUUCAAGAAUGGAAUUCACUUCGAGUAACAGAGUUUCAGCCAAUCUCAUCUUUCAUUGUUUGACAUCCCAGUGCAAAAGGUUCCCAUUAUGACAUCUGGGAGGGUCAGAUGUUUGUAGCAUUCCAAAUGCUCUGCAGAUAACAAUAAACUAAAGGGCCUUCAGAGGUAUAUUGGAAUUCUACCCAACACAAAUCAAAAGAGGAUAGAGUAUGAUCAUGCUUCUUCUAGCAGCAACUUCAACUAAUAUAGAAUUCCUAAAACAGGUACAGAAUACAAUAGCAAACCCUCAUUAUUCAUGAGAAAAGGCCAUUUUAG